GUGAGGAAUAUUGCGCAAUGGAGGCAACUCUGACGCAGCCAUGCCGCGUGCAGGAAGAAGGCGCUACGCGUUGUAAACUGCUUUUAACCGGGAAGAAACCCCAGGACGUGUCCUGGGUUGACGGUACCGGAGGAAUAAGCACCGGCUAACUUCGUGCCAGCAGCCGCGGUAAUACGAAGGGUGCAAGCGUUAUCCGGAUUCACUGGGUUUAAAGGGUGCGUAGGCGGAGCGUUAAGUCAGUGGUGAAAUCCUGCAGCUUAACUGUAGACUUGCCAUUGAUACUGGCGCUCUUGAGUGCGCUUGAAGUGGGCGGAAUGUGCCGUGUAGCGGUGAAAUGCUUAGAUAUGGCACAGAACACCAAUUGCGAAGGCAGCUCACUAAGGCGAUACUGACGCUGAGGCACGAAAGCGUGGGGAUCGAACAGGAUUAGAUACCCGAGUAGUCC
rnacentral:rRNA from 1 species